AUGAAUAUAUAAUUUUUAUUGACGAAAAUAGCCAAGAAGGUAAGAAACCAGUUGCUUGGUCCUUAUCAUCUUCUUCAAAUGGCACUGAGAAAUUACAAUUGUAUGAGCUUCAAACAAGGUUCUUUGUGCUGAGCAAGAGAGAGAUGGUGUGAGAGAAUUAAAUUGGAGUCGCAGAGAGAGAAUGGCUAUGGCGGAGUUGCAGAGAGAGAAGAGCAGCAGAGGCAGCAGUGGCAGCUGUAAUUCUGUGUCUUGGAAUUAAACGAGUCUUCUCAAUUCCACCACUGUCAACUCAAAGUAAAAGGAAAUCAAACCGAAGGAAACAAAGGAGGAAUUGAAGGCGCGAUUAACACUGCUCCUCAGCUCCUCCAUCCUCCAAAAGUUGCCGAGUCGAAAUUACCAUCCAAACCACCUCUCCACUACCGCCACCAACAACAACUACUCAACAACAAGAACAAGAAUAAGAACAAAACUAAUCACCAGCUACGCGGCUGUUUAAGUGAGGAGAGAGAGACAAUCACGCAGACAAUACACGUAUACGACAAAAUACGAAAAACAAACAAAUUGUAAGAAAAAUUCUCUCUCCCACUCAAAACCAAAAAUUCAAGACACUAACCAUUUCAUAUCUGGGCUAUUUUCACAAGCCAAAGACCAGAGAGCUAGCAUUUGAUAUGGAUUUUCUCUCAAAAUUGGGGUUUGGGUCAGGCUUAGAGGAGGAACAAUGGCUGGGCUGUUCUCAUUAGGCGGUGGUAGUGGUGGUGGAGGAGAUAAAGAAAGUAAUCAAGACGAUCGACAGAGCUCUGCUCAGUCAAUGAAACUAGCGAAGCCGCUUCGAAAAUGCUCUCAGAUUCCCGAUGAACAACACAAGAGGAUGAAGACGAGAGGGACAAGAGUUUGUUUAAUCGAGGUUUUGAUAGUUUUUUUUUUUUUUUUUCAAUUAAAGGGAAUUCAGUUAUUUUAUUUAAUAUUAAUGACAGUUUAUCCUUCAACUGAACUGAAGGGUUAAUUAAUUAUAUUAUUUUUAAAUAUUGAAUUAAAUUGUUAUAAAAAGAAU
rnacentral:lncRNA from 1 species